UGGGGAAUCUUGCGCAAUGGCCGCAAGGCUGACGCGGCGACGCCGCGUGGGGGAGGAAGGGCUUCGGCUCGUAAACCCCUGUUGCCCGGGGCGAACCUCUGGUUUCGACCAGACUGACGGUACCGGGUGAGGAAGCACCGGCUAACUCCGUGCCAGCAGCCGCGGUAAUACGGAGGGGGCUAGCGUUGUUCGGAAUUACUGGGCGUAAAGCGCGCGUAGGCGGCUUUGUAAGUUAGAGGUGAAAGCCCGGAGCUCAACUCCGGAACUGCCUUUAAGACUGCAUCGCUAGAAUUGUGGAGAGGUGAGUGGAAUUCCGAGUGUAGAGGUGAAAUUCGUAGAUAUUCGGAAGAACACCAGUGGCGAAGGCGACUCACUGGACACAUAUUGACGCUGAGGUGCGAAAGCGUGGGGAGCAAA
rnacentral:rRNA from 1 species